rnacentral:lncRNA from 1 species
ACAAUUGUACUCAUUUUGUAAUUUCACUUCUCAUGGAUCUCCUCUUAUUGUCCGCUGGCAAACUUCUGCAAGAUGGGAGAACUCAAGAAACUGGUUGAAGAGGGGAAAAUAAAAUAUGUUGGUCUCUCAGAGGCCUCUGCUUCUACAAUCCGAAGGGCUCAUGCCGUUCAUCCAUUAACUGCUGUUCAGAUGGAGUGGUCCUUGUGGUCAAGAGAUUUAGAAAAAGAAAUAAUUCCUACCUGCAGGUAAGGAGUCUUCUGCAUUUGUCAAUAAUCUUAUAACUUCUACAAGAUAAUUAUGUGUUGUUUUCGUCUGUCUUAUUAUUAGGGAACUUGGUAUUGGAAUUGUCCCAUACAGUCCUCUUGGACGUGGUUUCUUUUCAACAGGUCCCAAAUUGAUUGAAAACUUUUCAGAGGGUGACAGUCGUAAGGUUGGUCCAUAUUCAUUCACGUGUAACCUUCUUGGUAUUCAUUUGUGCUGAAUACUUGUUAACUUCAUGUUUUUGCAUCGAGAUUACAUUUAAUUAUUGCUAGCAUCUUUUUGCAUGUUUGGCAAAGCUUAUAAUUAAUUAUAAGCUUGUUAAACUUUUACUUAAUUCUACCCAGUUAUUAUCCACACGUUUCUUAGGACCUACAACUCAUAAUCUAAUUAAAGGUUUGCCAACUAUUUUACUUAUUACUCCCUAAAUUAAAUUUUUCAAACCAGGGAGCUUAGAAAAUUUGUCAAGCCAGCAUUAAUGUUAAGACAAGGUUCCAAGAAAUGUUGUCCUUUUUAUUAACAAUUACGUUUAAGAUAGGCAUUGUAGCCUUUUAUGCUUAAAGGGCGCCUUUUAUUCUCUAGUUAUGAUCGCAAACCAAGUUUCCUCUUGAGAAGACUGCCCACCCGAAAUCAAAUCUUAAAAAGAAAAAAGUUGAAUUUAUUCUUUCGCUAUAAAUUGAAGUGGAAUUGUUUGGUAUACAUUGAUGAAUUCAAAUGCAUAUGCUGAUACAUUGAUGAAUUCAGGUAGUACAUCUGUUAGAUAUGGUUUCAAGGACCUCUGCCUUCUUUUUCCGACCAGAUUUUGAUAUUGCAUGAGAUAAUAUGAGCGCUGUCUUUGCGUGAUCACUUUGAAAUUUAUAAAUGCUCCAGCUUUAAGGGUGAAAUCUCACAUUGAUUACAUAGAAAAAAUACUAACUAAUGUUUAAGAACUUAAACUACUCCUAUUAGUUCUUGUUUUGAAGUGCUUAAAUUUAGAUUUAAGUAACAGUUCCCACAAAAUAUGCGAUAAAAAGUUUGUUUGAAAUUAUAAUUUAAGCUUUGCCACUUGAUAAGGUUCACAUUAUAAGAUGGAACCCAAAAUUCAAUAGUAUCAAAGCCCGUUUACCUCACAAAAGCAAUUUGAUCUAUCUAAAGCUCAAAUGAGCAUUCAAAUUUCAGGAGUGCAAAUGAGUCAUGACUUUACCGGGGCAUGUAUGAUAAUACUAACCAAUCAUAUGAAGGCAAGACCCAAUAUCUAGAUAUAGCUUGUAAUCUCUCUCUCUCUCUCUCUCUCUCUCACACACACACACACACACACACACACAUGUUAACAUAUACACACAAAAGAAAAUUAAGGUUUUGGGUUCACGUAUAUCUGCUGUGUAAGAUUCAACUUUUGAAGACAUAUUUGCAACGUGUAAGGUUUCGGGUUAAAGUAUAUUUGCAAUGUUUACUUGCUGAUGAAAAUUGUUUGACUUUUGUAGACAUUUCCGAGGUUCCACCCAGAAAAUCUUGAAACUAACAAACUAGUAUUCGAAAGGGUUAGUGAAAUGGCUACGAGGAAAGGUUGCACCCCGUCCCAACUAGCAUUGGCUUGGGUUCAUCACCAAGGAGAUGAUGUUUGUCCAAUACCUGGUACCACUAAGAUUGAGAACUUGAACCAGAAUAUUCAAGCUUUAUCUGUGAAAUUGACACCCGAAGAGAUGGCUGAACUUGAAUCCUAUGCUUCAGCUGACGUGGUUAAGGGCGACAGACACGUUUUCAUGGAAUCCACAUGGCUAAACUCAGAGACACCCCCGCUAUCCUCUUGGAAGCCCGAGUAGGCAUUGCCUUUGCUGUUUCACCCCGAGUACUGAACUGAUUCUCCCAGUCAGUUAAAUAAAUAAAACCUGUAUGUUUACUAGCAGAUAUGAGUGGAAGUAUUCAGUUCAGGUAUUAAUAUAUGCUGUUAUGAUUUCAAUUAUUGUGUUUCUGCUAUUUUAGCAUUAAAGAUUUCUCUAUGUAUUUGCAGCCAGUAACUCAAUGUUCAUCGUUCAUAAAAGGCUG